rnacentral:misc_RNA from 1 species
AAUUAGCCCCGAUAGUAACGGUUACCCCACAGCAAGGAUUGGGCAAAGCUUGGCGCGAGGAGUAUAAGUGGAUAGCGGGAAAAAGC